UUUUGAAAUUUUCUAAAUCAUCGAUGUUUUUUUUCAACCAUCGAUGUUUCUGUGCCGUCACUAUUAAGAAAAAAGGCAAAGGAAAGGUACGUUAAAGAGCAGAUUUUUUUUAAUUUUUUCAUAACUUUAAAUGAGGCCGAAGUGUGCGAGCCGUUGCAAUAUUGGAAGGAAUCGUCGAACUGUAUGGCUCCCUUUAAAGAAGUGGUCAAAAAAUUUAUAUGUAUCCCUGCCACUUCCUGCGAGUCAGAAAGAGCCUUCAGCAAGGCGGGGCAAAUUAUUUCUGUACGCAGGACGCGCCUAAAGCCUGACGUCGUCGACAAACUUAUGUUUAUUAACAAAAAUUAUAGUUUUCUGAAAAAUGUUUAAUUUAGUUAUAAGAAAUGAUCUCCGAAAUGAUCUCUCUCUCAGUCUAAAACACCAAGUGAAUAAAUGUUUUGUUUUCUA